ensembl:lncRNA
CACAGGAUGUUUUGAAUGUGAAAACAUGGACGAUGAUUUCAAGACUUGCUGCUAUCGAAUACAGAUUGCCCCGUGAUCAAUUUAAUAGAUUAUUAACGUUUAUUAAUACCUAAAGUUGGUUUAGAAAAGUCAUUUGAAGUGAUUUGUAAAAGUAUAUAGGUAACUUUUGUAAUUUUAAAAAGUGACGUUGCGUCAUGUAAAGGGGCAUUUUUCUGGAUCAGACCGGUCUUCAGCAAAUCACAUUUUGGGUAGACAAUGACGGAUUUAAUCGGGAAAAAGACCCAAUUGUGAUGUUUAUGUGACAUAUAGGAGUGCCAAGAAAGAAGCUCGUCAAAGAUGGAAGAAGAAGAUACACCAUUGAGAGCAUCCUGUCAGGCUAUAUCACCGCCUGGUACAACAACUGCACCGCCCUCAACUGCAGGGCUCUCGGGGGUGGUGUGGUCUGUCCAACAAAUCACCGGGGGGGAACUACCUGCCCUCCAGGACACCUACACCACCCGAUGUCACAGGAAGGCAAAAAAGAUCAUCAAGGACAACAACCACCUGAGCCACUGCCUGUUCACCCCGCUAUCAUCCAGAAGGAGAGGUCAGUUGAGGUGCAUGAAAGCUGUGAUCGAGAGACUGAAAGACAGCUUCUAUCUCAAGGCCAUCAGACUGUUAAAUAACCAUCACUAGCACUUUAGAGGAUGCUGCCCUAUAUACAUAGACUUGAAAUCACUGGCCACUUUAAUAAUUGGAACACUAGUCACUUUAAUAAU